CAGCAGCCGCGGGAAUACGGAGGGAGCUAGCGUUGUUCGGAAUUACUGGGCGUAAAGCGCGCGUAGGCGGUUACUCAAGUCAGAGGUGAAAGCCCGGGGCUCAACCCCGGAACUGCCUUUGAAACUAGGUGACUAGAAUCUUGGAGAGGUCAGUGGAAUUCCGAGUGUAGAGGUGAAAUUCGUAGAUAUUCGGAAGAACACCAGUGGCGAAGGCGACUGACUGGACAAGUAUUGACGCUGAGGUGCGAAAGCGUGGGGAGCAAACAGGAUUAGAGACCCGAGUAGUCCCUGUCUCUUAUAA
rnacentral:rRNA from 1 species